GACAGAGGAGGCAAGCGUUGUUCGGAAUCAUUGGGCUUAAAGGGCGUGCAGGCGGCGGCGCAAGUGUCGAGUGAAAUCCCAUCGCUCAACGAUGGAACGGCUCGGCAAACUGCGUCGCUUGAGGUCGGUAGAGGUGCUCGGAACUCUAGGUGGAGCGGUGAAAUGCGCAGAUAUCAGGAGGAACACCAAUGGCGAAGGCAGCUCGCUGGGACGUGACUGACGCUGAGACGCGAAAGCGUGGGGAGCAAACAGG
rnacentral:rRNA from 1 species